rnacentral:rRNA from 1 species
GACUGAACUUAAAGGAAUUGACGGAAGGGCACCACCAGGAGUGGAGCCUGCGGCUUAAUUUGACUCAACACGGGGAACCGUCACCAGGCCCAGACGCCGGAAGGAUUGACAGAUUAAGAGCUCUUUCUCGAUUCGGUGGGUGGUGGUGCAUGGCCGUUCUUAGUUGGUGGAGCGAUCUGUCUGGUUGAUUCCGAUAACGAACGAGACUC